rnacentral:rRNA from 15 species
CAGCAGCCGCGGUAAUACGGAGGGGGUUAGCGUUGUUCGGAAUUACUGGGCGUAAAGCGCACGUAGGCGGACUGGAAAGUUGGGGGUGAAAUCCCGGGGCUCAACCUCGGAACUGCCUCCAAAACUACUAGUCUAGAGUUCGAGAGAGGUGAGUGGAAUUCCGAGUGUAGAGGUGAAAUUCGUAGAUAUUCGGAGGAACACCAGUGGCGAAGGCGGCACUCUGGACCAAUACUGACACUGAGGUGCGAAAGCGUGGGUAGCAAACAGGAUUAGAUACCCUGGAAGUCCACGCCGUAAACGAUGUC